UGGGGAAUAUUGGACAAUGGGCGAAAGCCUGAUCCAGCCAUGCCGCGUGUGUGAAGAAGGUCUUCGGAUUGUAAAGCACUUUAAGUUGGGAGGAAGGGCAGUAAGCUAAUACCUUGCUGUUUUGACGUUACCGACAGAAUAAGCACCGGCUAACUCUGUGCCAGC
rnacentral:rRNA from 1 species